CGGCCCCAGGCUGCCGCCCCACUUGGCCCUCCGCUGGGUCGGGGCCUGGCGGCGAGCGGCCUUCCCAGGCGCGGCUGCCCGGAGGACCACGGGCCUGCCUCCCGAGACCUCGGCUUCGCACUGUGCUGUUUCAGUCGUGCGUUCCGGCCGCGCGGCCGCUCCCGGUGCCAGCAAGAGCGCGUCUCCCCAGGGGAACUCACUGGAAAGGCCGCCCAGCGAGCGCGGACCCCGGCGGUGCCGAGAAUCCUGCUCCUGGAGGCUGCCCUUCUAUCCGUCUCUAUUUAUCUACUCUAGGACCAGUUGUGAACGACAGAGAACAAGCUUGAUUCUGGAUAUGUGAUAUUUAAUUCCUUUCCAGAGAAGAAAUUAAUAAUUCUUCUUAGGCAACCUGUAUUCAUUCUGGGUCAGUGGAACCAGUGCCAGCCAUGGUGUCAGGAAGGACAAGUGCACAGCCCUUCAUGCCUACCUCACCUGGAC